UAAAAUAUUGUUAUUAUGCUAAUUUGCAGACAACUUAAUACUCUAGGCAGUAUUUUUUAAUGACGGCAUAAUUGUAGUCCCACUUGCCAAAGUCCUGAGAAAAUGUAUUAAAGUGCUCAUAUUGUGCUUUUUGGCUUUUUCCUUUUCCUUUACUGUUAUAUAUCUUUUUUGUGCAUGUAAUAGUUUUACAAAAAGGUAAAAAGCCCAAAGUCCUC